UACGUAGGGGGCAAGCGUUGUCCGGAUUUAUUGGGCGUAAAGAGCGUGUAGGCGGCCGGGUAGGUCAGCUGUGAAAACUCGAGGCUUAACCUCGAGACGCCGGCUGAAACCCUCUGGCUAGAGUCCGGAAGAGGAGAGCGGAAUUCCUGGUGUAGCGGUGAAAUGCGCAGAUAUCAGGAAGAACACCCGUGGCGAAGGCGGCUCUCUGGGACGGUACUGACGCUGAGACGCGAAAGCGUGGGGAGCGAACAGG
rnacentral:rRNA from 1 species